GGAGAGAUGGCUCAGAGGUUAAGAGCACUGGCUGCUCUUCCAGAGGUCCUGAGUUCAAUUCCCAGCUCCC
rfam:Cricetulus griseus cell line CHO-K1, whole genome shotgun sequence.